AAAACGUCAGAAUGGAAAAGUGGGAAAUGGGUAGGGAGAAAGAAAGCCCAAAACAAUGAAAAGUUGAGCCCAAAUUAGAAAUGAGAAAAGGGUUGGAAGUGGUGGUGAUUGGGCAACAGAAAGAAAGAGAGUUUUGAAAUCUAAAGAAGAGAAUUGGAAAGAUGGGUGGUGCAGUGUGGGGGACUCGGAGAUCGUGAAGAACCAUGACACUGAAGGACUGAAUUAAACUCACCACCACCCGCAAAGCCAAUGCUGGGAAGCGCCUCCUCCGGGUUUGGCAGUGAAAUGAAGAGGUGCUUGGAGUGAAGUUACGUGAUGGGGUACAGCUGGAGGUGACCCAAGGCAAGACAAAGAAAGAGGCUAUAUCAGUGGCAUGGCACUGAUUUGAUGAAAGUACUCAACUAACCCUCUCCCUCUCUCAUACUAACUUCUUUCUAUUUCUGUUCUAUCCCUCAACGGGGAGCAAACCAAUAUGAAUGAAUAGAGGAAACUCAACUCUUUUGGUUUUCUUUUGUUAGUAAGUAACUUCUUCACACUUCAGACGCA